rnacentral:rRNA from 1 species
UACGGGGGGGGCAAGCGUUGUUCGGAAUUACUGGGCGUAAAGGGCGCGUAGGCGGCCAACUAAGUCAGACGUGAAAUCCCUCGGCUUAACCGGGGAACUGCGUCUGAUACUGGAUGGCUUGAGUUUGGGAGAGGGAUGCGGAAUUCCAGGUGUAGCGGUGAAAUGCGUAGAUAUCUGGAGGAACACCGGUGGCGAAGGCGGCAUCCUGGACCAACACUGAAGCUGAGUGAGCGAAAGCCAGGGGAGCAAACGGG